rnacentral:piRNA from 1 species
GCAGCCAUUUCCACCAUCACAGCAAGGGC